AAAUCAUGUUGAGCGCAACUUCUUAGCAAGCCCGUGUACCUCUCCCAAGCUUCAUAUAAGGACUCUCCUACCUCUUGUUGAAAGUUAUCAAUCUUCUUUUUGAGCUU